rnacentral:rRNA from 1 species
UACGGAGGGGGCUAGCGUUGUUCGGAAUUACUGGGCGUAAAGCGCGCGUAGGCGGCUUUGUAAGUUAGAGGUGAAAGCCCGGAGCUCAACUCCGGAAUUGCCUUUAAGACUGCAUCGCUAGAAUCAUGGAGAGGUUAGUGGAAUUCCGAGUGUAGAGGUGAAAUUCGUAGAUAUCAGGAGGAACACCGGUGGCGAAGGCGGCAUCCUGGACCAAUACUGACGCUGAGGCGCGAAAGCUAGGGGAGCAAACGGG